rnacentral:misc_RNA from 1 species
UCAGCCGCCUGGUUUUUGAGA